rnacentral:rRNA from 1 species
UACGGAGGGGGCAAGCGUUGUUCGGAAUUACUGGGCGUAAAGGGCGCGCAGGCGGCUGCUCAAGUCAGGCGUGAAAGGCCUGGGCUCCAACCCGGGAAUUGCGCUUGAGACUGGGCUGGGCUUGAGUGCGGGAGAGGAUGGUGGAAUUCCCAGUGUAGAGGUGAAAAUUCGUAGAUAUUGGGAAGAACACCGGUGGCGAAGGCGGCCAUCUGGACCGCAACUGACGCUGAGGCGCGAAAAGCGUGGGGAGCAAACAGGAU